CCGUUGAAGGGGAAACGAAUGCGACUAGCAAAGCACUCGUUGCAGAUUCAGCCAAAUCGACGAGCGUCGGUCGGUGCGCGGAUCCGAAUGGACCGUCGCCGAUUCGACGACUCGUCGGUCUGUCGCAAUUCUGCCCGGUGCGAGCCAACGUCGAUCAGUCGACGACGUUCGGUCGUUUCGUCAGGUGGUCCGCGGCUUCGGUCGUGGUCGUUAUAGGCGGGGCGACGAGGGCGUCGAGGCGGAUCGAGGAGACGAGUUGUCUCGGUGGCGGCCUGCGCGCUUCGGUGCUAGAGGCGAUCGGCACAUUUUGACGUCGUUUUUCGGACUGCAUGCAGUGCGCGAGACGAUCGUCGGAGGGUGUCGGCCCGUCUUUCAUACGUAGGCCUAGGUCGUUGGCGGUGAAAUGGUCACAUCCGACCCGUCUUGAAACACGGACCAAGGAGUCUAACAUGUGUGCGAGUCGUGGGGUAAGAAACCUUGUGGCGCAAUGAAAGUGAGUGUGGGGACGAGAAGCCUGCCCGAGGGCGAGCUGCAUCGUCGGCCGACCUUAUCUGAUCUCAGAAAGGUUUGAGUAGGAGCACGCCUGUUGGGACCCGAAAGAUGGUGAACUAUGCCUGAAUAGGGUGAAGCCAGAGGAAACUCUGGUGGAGGCUCGUAGCGAUUCUAACGUGCAAAUUGAUCGUCGAAUUUGGGUAUAGGGGCGAAAGACUAAUCGAACCAUCUAGUAGCUGG
rnacentral:rRNA from 1 species